GUGCUUGCUUUGGCAACACAUACACUAAAAUUGGAACGAUACAGAGAAGAUUAGCAUGGCCUCUACACAAGGAUUACGUGCAAAUUCACAAAGUGUUCCAUUAAAAU
rnacentral:snRNA from 1 species